rnacentral:rRNA from 1 species
GAUUAAGUUAUUAAGGGCGCACGGUGGAUGCCUUGGCACUAGAAGCCGAUGAAGGACGUUACUAACGACGAUAUGCUUUGGGGAGCUGUAAGUAAGCUUUGAUCCAGAGAUUUCCGAAUGGGGAAACCCAGCAUGAGUUAUGUCAUGUUAUCGAUAUGUGAAUACAUAGCAUAUCAGAAGGCACACCCGGAGAACUGAAACAUCUUAGUACCCGGAGGAAGAGAAAGAAAAUUCGAUUCCCUUAGUAGCGGCGAGCGAAACGGGAAGAGCCCAAACCAACAAGCUUGCUUGUUGGGGUUGUAGGACACUCUAUACGGAGUUACAAAGGACGACAUUAGACGAAUCAUCUGGAAAGAUGAAUCAAAGAAGGUAAUAAUCCUGUAGUCGAAAAUGUUGUCUCUCUUGAGUGGAUCCUGAGUACGACGGAGCACGUGAAAUUCCGUCGGAAUCUGGGAGGACCAUCUCCUAAGGCUAAAUACUCUCUAGUGACCGAUAGUGAACCAGUACCGUGAGGGAAAGGUGAAAAGCACCCCGGAAGGGGAGUGAAAUAGAACCUGAAACCGUGUGCUUACAAGUAGUCAGAGCCCGUUAAUGGGUGAUGGCGUGCCUUUUGUAGAAUGAACCGGCGAGUUACGAUUUGAUGCAAGGUUAAGCAGUAAAUGUGGAGCCGUAGCGAAAGCGAGUCUGAAUAGGGCGUUUAGUAUUUGGUCGUAGACCCGAAACCAGGUGAUCUACCCUUGGUCAGGUUGAAGUUCAGGUAACACUGAAUGGAGGACCGAACCGACUUACGUUGAAAAGUGAGCGGAUGAACUGAGGGUAGCGGAGAAAUUCCAAUCGAACCUGGAGAUAGCUGGUUCUCUCCGAAAUAGCUUUAGGGCUAGCCUCAAGUGAUGAUUAUUGGAGGUAGAGCACUGUUUGGACGAGGGGCCCCUCUCGGGUUACCGAAUUCAGACAAACUCCGAAUGCCAAUUAAUUUAACUUGGGAGUCAGAACAUGGGUGAUAAGGUCCGUGUUCGAAAGGGAAACAGCCCAGACCACCAGCUAAGGUCCCAAAAUAUAUGUUAAGUGGAAAAGGAUGUGGCGUUGCCCAGACAACUAGGAUGUUGGCUUAGAAGCAGCCAUCAUUUAAAGAGUGCGUAAUAGCUCACUAGUCGAGUGACACUGCGCCGAAAAUGUACCGGGGCUAAACAUAUUACCGAAGCUGUGGAUUGUCCUUUGGACAAUGGUAGGAGAGCGUUCUAAGGGCGUUGAAGCAUGAUCGUAAGGACAUGUGGAGCGCUUAGAAGUGAGAAUGCCGGUGUGAGUAGCGAAAGACGGGUGAGAAUCCCGUCCACCGAUUGACUAAGGUUUCCAGAGGAAGGCUCGUCCGCUCUGGGUUAGUCGGGUCCUAAGCUGAGGCCGACAGGCGUAGGCGAUGGAUAACAGGUUGAUAUUCCUGUACCACCUAUAAUCGUUUUAAUCGAUGGGGGGACGCAGUAGGAUAGGCGAAGCGUGCGAUUGGAUUGCACGUCUAAGCAGUAAGGCUGAGUAUUAGGCAAAUCCGGUACUCGUUAAGGCUGAGCUGUGAUGGGGAGAAGACAUUGUGUCUUCGAGUCGUUGAUUUCACACUGCCGAGAAAAGCCUCUAGAUAGAAAAUAGGUGCCCGUACCGCAAACCGACACAGGUAGUCAAGAUGAGAAUUCUAAGGUGAGCGAGCGAACUCUCGUUAAGGAACUCGGCAAAAUGACCCCGUAACUUCGGGAGAAGGGGUGCUCUUUAGGGUUAACGCCCAGAAGAGCCGCAGUGAAUAGGCCCAAGCGACUGUUUAUCAAAAACACAGGUCUCUGCUAAACCGUAAGGUGAUGUAUAGGGGCUGACGCCUGCCCGGUGCUGGAAGGUUAAGAGGAGUGGUUAGCUUCUGCGAAGCUACGAAUCGAAGCCCCAGUAAACGGCGGCCGUAACUAUAACGGUCCUAAGGUAGCGAAAUUCCUUGUCGGGUAAGUUCCGACCCGCACGAAAGGCGUAACGAUUUGGGCACUGUCUCAACGAGAGACUCGGUGAAAUCAUAGUACCUGUGAAGAUGCAGGUUACCCGCGACAGGACGGAAAGACCCCGUGGAGCUUUACUGUAGCCUGAUAUUGAAAUUCGGCACAGCUUGUACAGGAUAGGUAGGAGCCUUUGAAACGUGAGCGCUAGCUUACGUGGAGGCGCUGGUGGGAUACUACCCUAGCUGUGUUGGCUUUCUAACCCGCACCACUUAUCGUGGUGGGAGACAGUGUCAGGCGGGCAGUUUGACUGGGGCGGUCGCCUCCUAAAAGGUAACGGAGGCGCUCAAAGGUUCCCUCAGAAUGGUUGGAAAUCAUUCAUAGAGUGUAAAGGCAUAAGGGAGCUUGACUGCGAGACCUACAAGUCGAGCAGGGUCGAAAGACGGACUUAGUGAUCCGGUGGUUCCGCAUGGAAGGGCCAUCGCUCAACGGAUAAAAGCUACCCCGGGGAUAACAGGCUUAUCUCCCCCAAGAGUUCACAUCGACGGGGAGGUUUGGCACCUCGAUGUCGGCUCAUCGCAUCCUGGGGCUGUAGUCGGUCCCAAGGGUUGGGCUGUUCGCCCAUUAAAGCGGUACGCGAGCUGGGUUCAGAACGUCGUGAGACAGUUCGGUCCCUAUCCGUCGUGGGCGUAGGAAAUUUGAGAGGAGCUGUCCUUAGUACGAGAGGACCGGGAUGGACAUACCUCUGGUGUACCAGUUGUCGU